GAUGAACGCUGGCGGCGUGCCUAAUACAUGCAAGUCGAGCGAAUGGAUUAAGAGCUUGCUCUUAUGAAGUUAGCGGCGGACGGGUGAGUAACACGUGGGUAACCUGCCCAUAAGACUGGGAUAACUCCGGGAAACCGGGGCUAAUACCGGAUAACAUUUUGAACCGCAUGGUUCGAAAUUGAAAGGCGGCUUCGGCUGUCACUUAUGGAUGGACCCGCGUCGCAUUAGCUAGUUGGUGAGGUAACGGCUCACCAAGGCAACGAUGCGUAGCCGAGCUGAGAGGGUGAUCGGCCACACUGGGACUGAGACACGGCCCAGACUCCGACGGGAGGCAGCAGUAGGGAAUCUUCCGCAAUGGACGAAAGUCUGACGGAGCAACGCCGCGUGAGUGAUGAAGGCUUUCGGGUCGUAAAACUCUGUUGUUAGGGAAGAACAAGUGCUAGUUGAAUAAGCUGGCACCUUGACGGUACCUAACCAGAAAGCCACGGCUAACUACGUGCCAGCAGCCGCCGCGG
rnacentral:rRNA from 1 species